rnacentral:rRNA from 1 species
UACGUAGGGUCCGAGCGUUGUCCGGAAUUAUUGGGCGUAAAGGGCUCGUAGGCGGUUUGUCACGUCGGGCGUGAAAACUCAGGGCUCAACCCUGAGCGUGCGGGCGAUACGGGCAGACUGGAGUACUGCAGGGGGAGACUGGAAUUCCUGGUGUAGCGGUGGAAUGCGCAGAUAUCAGGAGGAACACCGGUGGCGAAGGCGGGUCUCUGGGCAGUAACUGACGCUGAGGAGCGAAAGCGUGGGGAGCGAACAGG